GGAGGAGCGCUUUUAUUAGAUCAAAACCAAUCGGCGGCGGGUUCGCCCGUUGGCCGUACAAUUUGGUGAUACUGAAUAACUUUAAGCUGAUCGCACGGUCCUAGCACCGGCGACGCAUCUUUCAAAUGUCUGCCUUAUCAACUGUCGAUGGUAGGUUCUGCGCCUACCAUGGUUGUAACGGGUAACGGGGAAUCAGGGUUCGAUUCCGGAGAGGGAGCCUGAGAAACGGCUACCACAUCCAAGGAAGGCAGCAGGCGCGCAAAUUACCCACUCCCGGCACGGGGAGGUAGUGACGAAAAAUAACGAUACGGGACUCAUCCGAGGCCCCGUAAUCGGAAUGAGUACACUCUAAAUCCUUUAACGAGGAUCAAUUGGAGGGCAAGUCUGGUGCCAGCAGCCGCGGUAAUUCCAGCUCCAAUAGCGUAUAUUAAAGUUGUUGCGGUUAAAAAGCUCGUAGUCGAAUCUGUGUCCUGCCCCGUCGGUUCAUCGUUCGCGGUGUCAACUGGCGUGUGGCGGGACGUCCUGCCGGUGGGCUUAGUCUGUCGUCGUUCGUAAGAUCGGCGGCGGACGGCUCAAUUCAAUCCCGCCGCGGUGCUCUUCAUCGAGUGUCGAGGUGGGCCGGCACGUUUACUUUGAACAAAUUAGAGUGCUUAAAGCAGGCUAAAAUUUCGCCUGAAUAUUCUGUGCAUGGAAUAAUGAAAUAGGACCUCGGUUCUAUUUUGCUGGUUUUCUGAACCCCGAGGUAAUGAUUAAUAGG
rnacentral:rRNA from 1 species